UGCAGUCCUGGCUCUUUCACUAUUCAUAGACCCCUCGAAGAAAGAGAAAAAAAUGAAUAUUUACUUAUUUUUGAAGUCUAAGAAAUCCUAGCUGUAGUGCUAAUCUAAUUGAAUUCUUCCAGAUACAUAAAGUGAGUGACAUUCUUAUUGAACGUGUGAAGAAACAGGCUGAAGAUUUGGAGUGACAAGUUCAAAUUUUUACAGCUAGAAAGGAUUUGAAUCUUGGACUUCAAAUAAUAGUAUUUAACGUUUCAUGAACAUUAGCAUUAGGUCUGGUUAGCACUUUAUAUACCCUACAAUCUUGGGAAGCAAAAGCACUAUUUUACUUUCGUCGAAUCUGAGGUUUAAAAAAGUGAAGUGACUUGCCUCAAGUCACACAUAGAAGUGAGGGCUGGUAUUUCAAGCCAGAUCUGCCCGGUUCCAGAAUUCACGCUUGGUGGCAAGAGAUUAGUUGAAAAUCCAGGCUCUUCUGAAUCCAAAGCCCAUCUGUGCUCUGUGUAUUCAAUCAGGCCUGAUUUUAAACAUGGGUCAAGAAUUAGCAAUAAUGUGUUCUUUGGUAAGUCAAUUACCUUCUUAACAUUAGUUUCUUCAUUUGUAAGAGGGGGAUGAUAGUAAGUAGCUGUCAGUUGGGAGGUUUCAAUAUGGUUAUACACACAGCAGUCCUCCAGCAAAUGAUGGCAUCUAUCUCUGCCACCUUUUGACAACCAUUACUAUUUCUUCCACCCCUACUCCCUACGUUCUCUCAGCUGACUUCAUUCGUUCAUUUCUGGCAUUGGGAUUGAGGGCUCGGGAUCUUUCUGUUUUGAGAUUGACAAAGUCAAUCCAGGAUGAGGGUAAAGAGAGAAGAUGCACAGCAGUCAAAGUGUUCCUGAAGUGUCUAGACUCCACUCAUGAAACUUUGUGUGAUUGAAUUAAAUUAGUCCCUGGGAGGUAAUUCACCUGACUGCCUGCCCAUGAUGACAGGUGGCAGACUCAAUGGUGAUUCUGAGAUUAAGAAUUGCAUCGGAGGAUAGGGGUGGGUCAGCUGACAGCCAGACAACAGGCGGCAUAACCUAGUGGUGGGGGGGGGGGUCCUAGUGGUCAGAACAUUCCGUAGACUGUGUUUGUAAAGUAGUUUGGAAGAGACGUGGGAGGUGAAGAAUGGGGAUGCCUUCUAAAGGGUGAUGGUUAGUUGUGGCUGGAGGUUGGUAAGGGAAGAAAAGAAUAAGCAAGGAAUGUGGUUAGAACCUGGUGAAAUAGGGCUGGGUUUGUCUCUGCAUAAUCAAUUUCACCUUAUGUUUCCCACCUCACUCCUCUUCCCCCACAGGGUCUGGCUCAUAGAAACAGACUUAUAGAAAUGAAUUUCUUUUCACUGGAAGAUUAUAGGUCUUCACGUGAGAGAUGAGUGAUCAAGAAGGGACUUAUUCCAUCCUGAGAUUUCUUCGGUCACCUUCGGAGUCACAAAAUAGAUCAAGGCCUGGUAGUGCCUAAAACCCUGGCAAGACUGACGGAAAAGGAGGAUAGUGGAAGAAAUAUCUCUUCAUUCAUCCGCCGACAACUUUGUAAGCUCUCCUUCACCUUUGGGAUAAAGAAAUCAUCCAAAAGUCUCCACAAUGUCAACUGCUUCAGACUGUGAUCAACCUCCAGAAAACACAGAGCAGACAGAGACAAUCCCUAUUGUGGAUGUGGAACGGCCUCUUGCCCUUCCUCCUCCUCCACCUGAGGAUGAAUGGCGCCCGAUUCCUGAGCACACCAAUGUGGAUGCCUCUCGUUUUUCCUUCUCUCUAUGUGGAAUAACCCCUGUGAUCCUGGGAGUGUUCAGCCUGCUGCUUUUGAUGUUGUGUGGAUUCUUUGGUUUUCAGUACUUUCAAAGUGUUCAGGAAUCAGAGAGCAAGAUGAAGAGCCUUAUCCAACAGACUGAGUCUUUGCAAAACAAAGAGGAAAACUUUCUUCAGGUCCUAAAAGCUCUUGAGCAAAAUAAAGAAAUCUUACAGCAGCUUCAAAAACAGAAUGAGUAUAUCACUGAGGCUCUACAAGAACUAAAUGUGGAACAAGGAGACAGGUGUGGACCUUCUCUGAGUCACUGGGUACAAUACAGAGACCACUGCUACCACCAAACCGUGCAAAUUGUUUCUUGGUUAGAGUGUUCGGAUCUUUGCAUCUCUUUGAAUGCUACAUUUUUAAAGACAGAAAGGAGUAGAUUGAUGUACAUCAUGAAGUUACUUGCAGCAAAUCACACUUGGCUUGGCCUGUCUUAUAAUGAAGAGGACAAUCAAUGGAAGUGGGAGGAUGGCUCCCUUCCUUCUCCUGGCCUAUAUUAAAGAGAGACACAGAAAGAUAUCAAGAUUGAGCUGAAACAAUCUAAGUCUUUCCAAAAAAUAAUGUUUAAGAGUGAGCAAAACAAGGAUAUUGUAAACAAGCAAGAGGUAACCUACACAGAACCAAAAUUUUCCAAAUCUCAACAGAAGCAAAAAAUACCCAAGACAAACCAGAGAAGUGUCAAAUCAAGUGAACCGCAAGUAAACUACAUGGAACUGAAGUUUCCAAGGCCCUCUCACCUUCAGCACAGAAAACGGUUGUUUAGGAAAAAAAGAAAAGUGCUACACCACCGAUCUACAGCAUGGUGACUGGGAGUCUAGGGAUCUUGUGUGUGGUCUGGAUGACAACAGUGGGUGCCUUGCUUGCAAACUUAUUUUCUAGCAGAGAAGAACGAAACUGAAAAAGAUCACCUGUUCCCACACUAUCUUCUAAAAAUGGUGAAUGUUCCUGUGAUCUUUGUUCAACCCACUGGAUUGGAUUUGGAAAUAGCUCUUAUCAUCUUUCCAAUAAAUCCAAAACCUGGGCGGAGAGCCAUGCUGCCUGUGCAGAGCUGAAUUCCCACCUUCUAAAGAUUGGUAUCAAGGAAGAGCUGAUUCUUGCAAAUGGAGAACCAUGGUUGUCCAUAUAUUGAAGGAGAUUAUGUUUAUGCUUGUAACUGUUCAUCUGGGAAAACUUACGUCUGUGUGUUUAAUAUAUAGCAGCUGUUUUCCUAAUACAUGUUGUGAUUGAAUCCUAAUUAAUUAAAGAAGUACAAAAUAUUCUGUUGCCUUUAUAAAAUUUUAUAAAUUAUUGUUAAAGUUUUUUUUUUUUUUUACUGCACUCACAAUACUUUAGUUAAAUUUUCAACUUUUAAAUGUAUUCGAAGUGAAGAAAAUUCACCACCCACAAAUUCUUUGGGAGUGAGUGUUCUCCCUAUGA